rnacentral:rRNA from 1 species
AUACGGAGGGUGCAAGCGUUAUUCGGAAUCACUGGGCGUAAAGGACGCGUAGGCGGGUUGGCAAGUCAGAUGUGAAAUCCUACAGCUUAACUGUAGAACUGCAUUUGAAACUGCUAACCUAGAGUAUGGGAGGGGGAGAUGGAAUUAGUGGUGUAGGGGUAAAAUCCGUAGAUAUCUCUAGGAAUACCGAAAGCGAAGGCGAUCUCCUGGAACAUAACUGACGCUAAGGCGUGAAAGCGUGGGGAGCAAACAGGAUUAGAAACCCUAGUAGUCC